rnacentral:rRNA from 1 species
GACGAACGCUGGCGGCGUGCUUAACACAUGCAAGUCGAACGAGAGCGUAGAGAAAGCUUGCUUUUUCUACAAUCUAGUGGCAAACGGGUGAGUAACGCGUAAACAACCUGCCCUACGGAUGGGGACAACAGCUGGAAACGGCUGCUAAUACCGAAUACGUUCCGAAAGUCGCAUGACUAUCGGAAGAAAGGAUGGCCUCUAUUUAUAAGCUAUCGCCGGAGGAGGGGUUUGCGUCUGAUUAGCUAGUUGGAGGGGUAACGGCCCACCAAGGCGACGAUCAGUAGCCGGUCUGAGAGGAUGAACGGCCACAUUGGAACUGAGACACGGUCCAGACUCCUACGGGAGGCAGCAGUGGGGAAUCUUCCGCAAUGGGCGAAAGCCUGACGGAGCAACGCCGCGUGAGUGAAGACGGCCUUCGGGUUGUAAAGCUCUGUUAUACGGGACGAAUAAUCUUGUGGUUAAUACCCAUGAGAAGUGACGGUACCGUAAGAGAAAGCCACGGCUAACUACGCG